GGGGCUCCAGAACAAGUUCAACGGGUUUGCGACCCGUAGGUCGCCGGUUCAAAUCCGGCCAGCCCCACCA
rnacentral:tRNA from 1 species